GACGAACCGUGCGAACGUUGUUCGGAAUUACUGGGCGUAAAGGGCGCGUAGGCGGUUGGAUAAGUCAGCUGUGAAAACCACGGGCUUAACUCGUGGCCUGCAGUUGAGACUGUCUGGCUUGAGUGUGGGAGAGGAGAGUGGAAUUCCUGGUGUAGCGGUGAAAUGCGUAGAUAUCAGGAGGAACACCGGUGGCGAAGGCGGCUCUCUGGACCACAACUGACGCUGAGGCGCGAAAGCUAGGGGAGCAAACAGG
rnacentral:rRNA from 1 species